rnacentral:rRNA from 1 species
AUGAACGCUGGCGGCGUGCCUAAUACAUGCAAGUCGAGCGAACAGACGAGGAGCUUGCUCCUCUGACGUUAGCGGCGGACGGGUGAGUAACACGUGGAUAACCUACCUAUAAGACUGGGAUAACUUCGGGAAACCGGAGCUAAUACCGGAUAAUAUAUUGAACCGCAUGGUUCAAUAGUGAAAGACGGUUUUGCUGUCACUUAUAGAUGGAUCCGCGCCGCAUUAGCUAGUUGGUAAGGUAACGGCUUACCAAGGCAACGAUGCGUAGCCGACCUGAGAGGGUCAUCGGCCACACUGGAACUGAGACACGGUCCAGACUCCUACGGGAGGCAGCAGUAGGGAAUCUUCCGCAAUGGGCGAAAGCUUGACGGAGCAACGCCGCGUGAGUGAUGAAGGUCUUCGGAUCGUAAAACUCUGUUAUUAGGGAAGAACAAAUGUGUAAGUAACUAUGCACGUCUUGACGGUACCUAAUCAGAAAGCCACGGCUAACUACGUG